GCUCAGGACGAACGCUGGCGGCGUGCUUAACACAUGCAAGUCGAACGGUGAUGUCAGAGCUUGCUCUGGCGGAUCAGUGGCGAACGGGUGAGUAACACGUGAGUAACCUGCCCCCGACUCUGGGAUAACUGCUAGAAAUGGUAGCUAAUACCGGAUAUGACGACUGGCCGCAUGGUCUGGUCGUGGAAAGAAUUUCGGUUGGGGAUGGACUCGCGGCCUAUCAGGUUGUUGGUGAGGUAAUGGCUCACCAAGCCUACGACGGGUAGCCGGCCUGAGAGGGUGACCGGCCACACUGGGACUGAGACACGGCCCAGACUCCUACGGGAGGCAGCAGUGGGGAAUAUUGCACAAUGGGCGCAAGCCUGAUGCAGCAACGCCGCGUGAGGGAUGACGGCCUUCGGGUUGUAAACCUCUUUUAGUAGGGAAGAAGCG
rnacentral:rRNA from 1 species